rnacentral:tRNA from 1 species
GGCCGAGUGGCGGAAUGGCAGACGCACAGGACUUAAAAUCCUGUGGCCCGUUAGGGCCGUGCGGGUUCGAAUCCCGCCUCGGCUA